UGUUAAUUGCUUAUGUGGGAUUAUUGAAGCACUGAUUGUUAAUGUGUAGAGAGGGUGCAAAAGGGGAUGAGAUUACUGAAGAUAUGAUUGCAAACAGCAAAACAUUAGCGUUUAAUCUUGUUUUCAGGAAAAAUAUCUCCUUAAGAAGCAGAAGAAGUAUGCGCCAAAGGUGCUUCUAAGACACCCUUUUGCUGGAAGUAUCUACGAAGCCUAUUUGAAGAAAUAUCCAGCCAGAAUUAAGCGUGCUCCCUUUUGUUAACAAUGGCUACUGUCACUGCAUACUCGGAUGUGCUUGUGGUGGAUAUGGUUGGUGGUCUUGUCACUGGUGCAGUGGCUGAACGGAUAUGGGAGCAAGAUGAUUACGAGAACAGCAACGAGAUGUGCGUUAUCAAGAUGCUUAAGCCUGUCAAGAAGAAGAAGGUUAGUCUCUUACAUUACUUAUAUAUAGAGGUUAGUGAUAACAAGCCCUGAAAAAAAAACAAGGAUGACAUUGGUGUUGAUUCAGAACAUGAACAAAGAUGAUCCCUUUAGUUAAACUCCUGCUUCGUUUACAA